rnacentral:rRNA from 2 species
ACGGGUGAGUAACACGUGAGUAACCUGCCCUUGACUCUGGGAUAAGCCUGGGAAACUGGGUCUAAUACCGGAUACGACCAUUCCACGCAUGUGGUGGUGGUGGAAAGCUUUUGUGGUUUUGGAUGGACUCGCGGCCUAUCAGCUUGUUGGUGGGGUAAUGGCCUACCAAGGCGACGACGGGUAGCCGGCCUGAGAGGGUGACCGGCCACACUGGGACUGAGACACGGCCCAGACUCCUACGGGAGGCAGCAGUGGGGAAUAUUGCACAAUGGGCGCAAGCCUGAUGCAGCGACGCCGCGUGAGGGAUGACGGCCUUCGGGUUGUAAACCUCUUUCAGUAGGGAAGAAGCGAAAGUGACGGUACCUGCAGAAGAAGCGCCGGCUAACUACGUGCCAGCAGCCGCGGUAAUACGUAGGGCGCAAGCGUUAUCCGGAAUUAUUGGGCGUAAAGAGCUCGUAGGCGGUUUGUCGCGUCUGCUGUGAAAGACCGGGGCUCAACUCCGGUUCUGCAGUGGGUACGGGCAGACUAGAGUGCAGUAGGGGAGACUGGAAUUCCUGGUGUAGCGGUGAAAUGCGCAGA